rnacentral:rRNA from 1 species
UGGGGAAUAUUGCACAAUGGGCGCAAGCCUGAUGCAGCCAUGCCGCGUGUGUGAAGAAGGCCUUCGGGUUGUAAAGCACUUUCAGCGGGGAGGAAGGCGGUGAGGUUAAUAACCUCACCGAUUGACGUUACCCGCAGAAGAAGCACCGGCUAACUCCGUGCCAGCAGCCGCGGUAAUACGGAGGGUGCAAGCGUUAAUCGGAAUUACUGGGCGUAAAGCGCACGCAGGCGGUCUGUCAAGUCGGAUGUGAAAUCCCCGGGCUCAACCUGGGAACUGCAUUCGAAACUGGCAGGCUAGAGUCUCGUAGAGGGGGGUAGAAUUCCAGGUGUAGCGGUGAAAUGCGUAGAGAUCUGGAGGAAUACCGGUGGCGAAGGCGGCCCCCUGGACAAAGACUGACGCUCAGGUGCGAAAGCGUGGGGAGCAAACAGG